CCUGGCGGCUGUAGCGCGGUGGUCCCACCUGACCCCAUGCCGAACUCAGAAGUGAAACGCCGUAGCGCCGAUGGUAGUGUGGGGUCUCCCCAUGCGAGAGUA
rnacentral:rRNA from 2 species